rnacentral:ncRNA from 1 species
GAAUACGGGAGAGAGCCAUUGGAUCGGUCACCGAAGGGGUAAGUUGAUAUGUUGCCUCAUAUCAAUGAAACUCUCAGGUAAAAGAACCGUA